rnacentral:rRNA from 1 species
AUUGAACGCUGGCGGCAGGCCUAACACAUGCAAGUCGAACGGUAACAGGAAGAAGCUUGCUUCUUUGCUGACGAGUGGCGGACGGGUGAGUAAUGUCUGGGAAACUGCCUGAUGGAGGGGGAUAACUACUGGAAACGGUAGCUAAUACCGCAUAACGUCGCAAGACCAAAGAGGGGGACCUUCGGGCCUCUUGCCAUCGGAUGUGCCCAGAUGGGAUUAGCUAGUAGGUGGGGUAACGGCUCACCUAGGCGACGAUCCCUAGCUGGUCUGAGAGGAUGACCAGCCACACUGGAACUGAGACACGGUCCAGGCUCCUACGGGAGGCAGCAGUGGGGAAUAUUGCACAAUGGGCGCAAGCCUGAUGCAGCCAUGCCGCGUGUAUGAAGAAGGCCUUCGGGUUGUAAAGUACUUUCAGCGGGGAGGAAGGGAGUAAAGUUAAUACCUUUACUCAUUGACGGUACCCGCAGAAGAAGCACCGGCUAACUCCGUG